rnacentral:rRNA from 1 species
GAGCGCCGUAGCAAUACGGAGCGGCAGACGGGAGAGUAACACGUGGGAACGUGCCCUUUGGUUCGGAACAACCCAGGGAAACUUGGGCUAAUACCGGAUAAGCCCUUACGGGGUAAAGAUUUAUCGCCGAAGGAUCUGCCCGCGUCUGAUUAGCUAGUUGGUGGGGUAAUGGCCCACCAAGGCGACGAUCAGUAGCUGGUCUGAGAGGAUGAUCAGCCUCACUGGGACUGAGACACGGCCCAGACUCCUACGGGAGGCAGCAGUGGGGAAUAUUGGACAAUGGGCGCAAGCCUGAUCCAGCCAUGCCGCGUGGGUGAUGAAGGCCUUAGGGUUGUAAAGCCCUUUCGGCGGGGAAGAUAAUGACGGUACCCGCAGAAGAAGCCCCGGCUAACUUCGUGCCAGCAGCCGCGGUAAU